rnacentral:rRNA from 1 species
UGGGGAAUAUUGCACAAUGGGCGCAAGCCUGAUGCAGCCAUGCCGCGUGUGUGAAGAAGGCCUUCGGGUUGUAAAGCACUUUCAGCGAGGAGGAAGGUGGUGAGCUUAAUACGCUCAUCAAUUGACGUUACUCGCAGAAGAAGCACCGGCUAACUCCGUGCCAGCAGCCGCGGUAAUACGGAGGGUGCAAGCGUUAAUCGGAAUUACUGGGCGUAAAGCGCACGCAGGCGGUUUGUUAAGUCAGAUGUGAAAUCCCCGGGCUCAACCUGGGAACUGCAUUUGAAACUGGCAAGCUAGAGUCUCGUAGAGGGGGGUAGAAUUCCAGGUGUAGCGGUGAAAUGCGUAGAGAUCUGGAGGAAUACCGGUGGCGAAGGCGGCCCCCUGGACGAAGACUGACGCUCAGGUGCGAAAGCGUGGGGCAGCAAACAGGAUUAGAUACCCUGGUAGUCCACGCUGUAAACGAUGUCGAUUUUGGAGGUUGUGCCCUUGAGGCGUGGCUUCCGGAGCUAACGCGUUAAAGUCGACCGCCUGGGGAGUNCGGCGCAAGGUUAAAACUCAAAUGAAUUGACGGGGUCAUAGCUGUUCCU